rnacentral:rRNA from 1 species
CGGACAUCAGGAGGUUAGUGCAAUGGCAUAAGCCAGCUUGACUGCGAGCGUGACGGCGCGAGCAGGUGCGAAAGCAGGUCAUAGUGAUCCGGUGGUUCUGAAUGGAAGGGCCAUCGCUCAACGGAUAAAAGGUACUCCGGGGAUAACAGGCUGAUACCGCCCAAGAGUUCAUAUCGACGGCGGUGUUUGGCACCUCGAUGUCGGCUCAUCACAUCCUGGGGCUGAAGUAGGUCCCAAGGGUAUGGCUGUUCGCCAUUUAAAGUGGUACGCGAGCUGGGUUUAGAACGUCGUGAGACAGUUCGGUCCCUAUCUGCCGUGGGCGCUGGAGAACUGAGGGGGGCUGCUCCUAGUACGAGAGGACCGGAGUGGACGCAUCACUGGUGUUCGGGUUGUCAUGCCAAUGGCACUGCCCGGUAGCUAAAUGCGGAAGAGAUAAGUGCUGAAAGCAUCUAAGCACGAAACUUGCCCCGAG